rnacentral:rRNA from 1 species
GACGAACGCUGGCGGCGUGCUUAACACAUGCAAGUCGAACGGAAGGGCCCUGCUUUUGUGGGGUGCUCGAGUGGCGAACGGGUGAGUAACACGUGAGUAACCUGCCCUUGACUUUGGGAUAACUUCAGGAAACUGGGGCUAAUACCGGAUAGGAGCUCCUGCUGCAUGGUGGGGGUUGGAAAGUUUCGGCGGUUGGGGAUGGACUCGCGGCUUAUCAGCUUGUUGGUGGGGUAGUGGCUUACCAAGGCUUUGACGGGUAGCCGGCCUGAGAGGGUGACCGGCCACAUUGGGACUGAGAUACGGACCAGACGCCUACGGGAGGCAGCAGUGGGGAAUAUUGCACAAUGGGCGGAAGCCUGAUGCAGCAACGCCGCGUGCGGGAUGACGGCCUUCGGGUUGUAAACCGCUUUCGCCUGUGACGAAGCGUGAGUGACGGUAAUGGGUAAAGAAGCACCGGCUAACUACGUG